rnacentral:lncRNA from 1 species
GAACUUUACAUAGAAACAUGCCAAUCACAUCACAAGUUUUCAAAUAUUUGUCAAAGCUCCUACGAUGAAUUGAAUGCUGAAGCAUUAAGAUUCACCCUUUGGAUGCUGAAGGUUUGGAGCGAGGUUAGGGUGAUGCUAGAGUUAAAACCCAGAAGUAGAUGUUAAUUACUCUUGGCAGGUGGGUGAGGGGUGAUAACAGUCAAUGUUAUUGUCUAACUCUGAAACACUAACCCACGAUGAUAGAUUUUGUAGGUGCACAAACUUUUGCCGACUUGUAUAUAAUCUUUGGUUAGAUCAUUGAGCAGCAUCUUGUAAGUGUACGAAAUGAUUGUUUGUCAACGUGCAUCCUUUACAUUUACGCAGAAACUUUUGACGAAAGUGGGAAAACACCACUUCGUUCAUCAUUUACACUCUGAUAAUUUCCGAUGAGAAAAUGAGACUUUGUGACACGAAAAUGGAACGUCAUGUUUGAUCAAAACGUACCUCAGAAGUUAGGCGUAAGCUUGCCGUGGGAUAUUCACUCCAUUUCUCUCUCGGAAAGCUAUCUGCUAGGGGCCUCAAAAUCUUCUCGGAGAUUUUGGGAGAAAUGGUGACCUAGCCCAGGUUAAUUCGUCUAUUGGCUAUCGCUGCCCGGAAUCUUUCAAGUCCUAAGUUGGUGGUUUGGCUGAUUGCCUGAAACUCGACUGAAAUAACGAGCCACCGAAGUUGAAUUAGAACAGCGUUGCAGUCAGGAUUUUUACUUGUUAAUGACAAUUGGAAUUAAGAUACUUAAGACUAUAAUUGUAAAAGAACGUGCGUUUUGAGUUAGAUAUAAAUAAAUUCAAUCAUAAUUUGCUGCUAUUUAUUUUUAUUGGCCAACGAUACUCACGAUUUACAACUUGUCAUCGAGGAUAUGUAUGAGAUCAAAAUUCAUGUUUUUUAUCUACAAUCAUACUUGAUCCUAAUUGUUCGGGUCAGAAAAUAAAAGUUUGUUUUCGUCCAUAAAUUGAUGAGUUGAAGCAGUUGUGGUCAUCCAAGCAUAGUUAUCAAACUCGGUCCAGAUGUUGACCCGACAAAGAGACCGAGUCUUGGGUUGCACUAGUUGACCAAUAAAAAAAAUAAUUAUUAGAAUUACAUAUUGUUUUUCUGUUAUUGAUAAUAUGUUAUAUUUAUCAAUGAAAAUACUAACAAAAUAGAACAAGUAAAAUUAUCUGUACAUGCUUUCACUUUUAAUAAAUUCAUCAGUAAAAUUAUUACUAAUAAACAGACCGACAAAUCACAAAUCACCCAAUAGUUUUUUCCACAUAGUAUUGCCGUUCAUGAGCCCGCGAGAAAAUUAGUGACGAUGGGUUGUGAGUAUAAAUAAUGAGAAGAAAAUCUGUCGGUAAAUACAAUAAAUUAUUUCUUCCGUCUUGUGAUUGAAAUUGAGAAUUGGUACACACAAUUCAACAUUGAACUGGUAAGUAGAUGUUGUUAUCACCAUUUUCGGCUUCAUUAUCGAUGAGCACAGUUUAGCUGAUAUAUAGUCGAGGUGAUUCAAAUAGCCAAUCGAUAACCUAUCUCUAACAACGAAGAUAGGGUAAGUACUAGUUAAUUAGGUAGCAUUCAGGACUAUGUGCAAAUUAGUACUCAAAAGUCCACAUGUGAAUUGGAAAAUUUGCACCAAGCAACUUUUAGUGCCAUUGUCAACUUGUAAUCCUGACAAUCUAUAAUAAAACAUGAUCGUACUUGCUCCUAAUUACAUCUGGGUCACCUCAAACCGUUGGUAAUUUGGCAUGCGUGUGAUGACUUGACGAAUUCCCGUUCACAAGAAUAUUAAAUCCAUAACAUCCACUUCAAACUAAAAGCAAAGCAUGACAGGUGUUUGCAGCUGUUUGUAGUUAAAUCCAAAUACAAUGGAGUUUUCUAGAUACGAAUGGCACGUUGCUUCUUGUAGAGGUUUGACUGCUAGAAUUGGUUUCUUUUUCUGAGUUUGUUGAUCCCUUUCUUCUAUAUAUUCGUUUAUCGAUAGGAUUUCAUUUGCAUAAACAGGCAAACGUGGAAGAUGGCAACUUUCCAAAUAUAUUUAAUAUCAUCAAAAGGUUGGUUCACGUCAAUUUGCUGGCUGAUUUGCAGCUCUAAUUGCAUCACUGUUGAUGGACGUCUGUUCCUCUGUGUGAGAAAGUUGAUGAGUGCUGAAACACUUAACUAUUCAGUACUAUAGAGUCGAUUCAAUCAUUUUGUCUCAUUCAACGGCUGGUGAGGUCCUUCCUCGAUCUCCUCUCUUGGUUGGUUUUCUAAAACUUGUUCGCCAUUGAAAUUAUGUUUGUCAAGAGAUUAUUUCAAUCCAAACAUGAGGCCUUUCAAAUAGUUUUAUGUUAUUAUCGCUAUUAAUAACCAAAUUAGCUUGCAACACCAUGCAAAUUCCUUGCGCAAAUUCACAAAAAAGACUUGAAAAACGUUCGCAGAUCAUCAAAUUCAACCAGCGUGAUUCAUUAAUAAAUGUUUAGGUGAGGUAGUUUUCAUAGGGAAGUCCUUGAACAAGAGAUAUUAAUGAUGGAUCAACAUUUUAAUGGCACACGCGACCCACUUCCUUCAAGGAUAUAACUCCAUCUUUAAUAAGGCUGGAAAUUAUCCACGUGAACUGGAGUACUCGUUUCACGGCAGCGGCAAAUUUCAUUUAUUAAUCAAUACAUACGUAACAACAACCAUUCUCACCUUUAUUUUCAAGUGAUUUCAAGGAGUCGCAUCAAUAUUUAUUACGAGCUAGGGAUUGGAGGAAUUGGUGGAUAAGACGAAAAUAAUUGGAAAAAAAAAUGAAUUUGGUAAGAAAUUAAAAUAGGAAAUUAAGAAGAAUCCCUCUAAUCCUUCCUUAUUUAUAAAUCUUAAUCCUCUAAAUUUGGAUGAAUUAGCUCAUAUUCUUCCAUUUCUUUGUGAUUUCUAAUACUUUCAAUUAUUUAUAUAAGCAAAUCUGAGAAAUAAUGUUAUUUCAGCAAAAAAAAAAAGCUGAUAAGAAAAUUAUAAAUCAUUAUAUUAGCAAAAUCUAUCAAUAAGUUUCAUGUUAAUUAAUUAUAUAAAUUUGUCAAGAAUACACACACUAUACAACUAUACAGUAAGAGAGAAAUGAAAAUAUUGUUCUCUUAUGUUACAUCUUGCACUUUAAAUAAAUAACAUGAGAUGGAGUGAGGCCAAAGUGAAAUAUUCCAUUAGAAAAGAAAAAUAAAGAGAAAAAAAGGAUUAUUUUAUGAGCAAGGAUAGUAAAUGUAUUUGGGAGCUACAUGCUCAACAGAACUUGAUCCCUCGGUAACUCAUGUGGUCUCAAAAGAUUCUGGGACUGAAAAGUCACAUUGGGCCUUGAAGCACAACAAGUUCUUGGUCCAGCCAGGGUGGAUCGAAGCUGCAAAUUAUUUCUGGCAGAGGCAGCCCGAAGAGAAUUUCUCUUUCAACCAAAUUAAGAAUUGAUUACCACCAUCUUCAACUUGUCUGGUCAGAAUCUAACUAGUAUCUGGGCACUGCAUUUUGCAAACAAUUCUUAAUUACUUGAACUUUACAUAGAAACAUGCCAAUCACAUCACAAGUUUUCAAAUAUUUGUCAAAGCUCCUACGAUGAAUUGAAUGUUGAAGCAUUAAGAUUCACCCUUUGGAUGCUGAAGGUUUGGAGCGAGGUUAGGGUGAUGCUAGAGUUAAAACCCAGAAGUAGAUGUUAAUUACUCUUGGCAGGUGGGUGAGGGGUGAUAACAGUCAAUGUUAUUGUCUAACUCUGAAACACUAACCCACGAUGAUAGAUUUUGUAGGUGCACAAACUUUUGCCGACUUGUAUAUAAUCUUUGGUUAGAUCAUUGAGCAGCAUCUUGUAAGUGUACGAAAUGAUUGUUUGUCAAUGUGCAUCCUUUAUAUUUACGC